CAUCCAUCUUCUGGAUACAUUCUAAAUAACAAGGCCAGGGUUAAGAAGAAAACCUGAUCAGGUAGACAGCUGGUAGACGUCUGUUUGGAGGAGUUUUUAAACCUAAAAAAAACUUUUUUUUCCUGUCUCUGUAUAAUCGAGCUUCCUGCCUUAACAUUGUCUGAUAUGAUUGGCUGACAGAUUGAGUCAGCAAUCAUUCUGCCAUAUUCUCUUGCAGAGAUUGAAGCUUGCCAGCAAUCAUGAUGGGAGUUAAACUGUCAACAAAAUUAUCUGCACUGGCCAUUGUUUUACUUAUGGUGUCAGCUUGGCUAGUUGGAUGUGGCUUGAGAGAUGAUACAUGGCAAUUUCAAGUUUUGUUUAUUGGUCUUGGAGCUCUUUUCCUUUGCCUGUUCUUUUUAUGCCUUUAUCUUGCAACCCUCCCCUUG